rnacentral:rRNA from 1 species
UACGUAGGGGGCAAGCGUUGUCCGGAUUUAUUGGGUCGGUAAAGCGCUCGCAGGUGGUUCGUCGCGCCGUUGCGUGAAAGACCCCGGCUCAACUGGGGGGUGUCGUGCGAUACGGGCGGACUGGAGGCCAGUAGGGGGAUGCGGAAUUCCGCGUGUAGCAGUGAAAUGCGUAGAUAUGCGGAGGAACACCGAUGGCGAAGGCAAUCCCCUGGGCCUGCACUGACGCUCAUGCACGAAAGCGUGGGGAGCAAACAGG